GAAUGGGCCUUGGCAAAGAAGUAGGGGCUUGAAGCUUCCAAGAAGUAGAAUGCUGAGAAUAGAAAGCUUAUUUACAACAAAUUCAAAUAGUACACCAAGGAGUACGCAGAGAAGGACAAUGAGUUGGUCAGGUUGAAGCUUGAAGCAAGGCUGAAAGGAGGAUUCUAUGUUGAGCCAGACUCUAUGCUUUUGUUUAUCAUUCGUAUCCGUGGGUAGGUCAUGAUCCUUAAUUUAUUUAUAUAUUGAGAUCUUUAUAGUUCUGGUUAUUUUCCUUAUACUUUUAAUUAUUGUAUUUUCAGUUUCAAUGACACUGAUCCAAAGACAAAGAAGAUCUUGUAGCUUUUGCGAUUGAGACAGAUUGAACGAUACCGAGCUGAGAUUAAGAGACUUCAGGAAUCUGAGGCAGAAAUUAAAGCAUUAUAAAAAAAACUAUGCAGCUUUGUUAAAGGAAAAGGAGGAUCAAAUUUCUAGAUUGAACAAAGAAAAUGGCUCAUUGAAACAAAAUCUGGACACAACUACUGCAUCUCUAAAUGCCUCUAGAAUUGAAAACUACAAAGCGACAUCAAAUGGGACCAACUUACACAAGGUA